rnacentral:rRNA from 1 species
UGGGGAAUAUUGGACAAUGGGCGCAAGCCUGAUCCAGCCACGCCGCGUGAGUGAUGAAGGCCUUCGGGUUGUAAAGCUCUGUGGGGAGGGACGAAAACGGCGCACAAGAAACGGUGCGUCCUUGACGGUACCUCCUUAGCAAGCACCGGCUAACUCUGUGCCAGCAGCCGCGGUAAUACAGAGGGUGCGAACGUUGCUCGGAAUUACUGGGCGUAAAGCGCGUGUAGGCGGAUCCAUAAGUCGGGCGUGAAAGCCCCAGGCUCAACCUGGGAACUGCGCUCGAAACUGUGGGUCUAGAGUGUCGGAGAGGAUGGCGGAAUUCCUGGUGUAGAGGUGAAAUUCGUAGAUAUCAGGAGGAACACCGGUGGCGAAGGCGGCCAUCUGGACGACAACUGACGCUGAGACGCGAAAGCGUGGGGAGCAAACAGGAUUAGAUACCCGCGUAGUCCCUGAGCGGGCUGGCAAGGCGCAU